CAGCAAUGCCAGGGGCAGAGCCAAGCCA
rnacentral:sRNA from 1 species